rnacentral:lncRNA from 1 species
UCACCAUUAUAAGCUAAUGAAUCUCAUGAGGAGUGAUUCUGGGGGAGUUUACGUAUACGAGCUUCCAAAAGAGUUCAACAAGGAUCUAUUAUUCGCGGAGUCUCCUUCUUUUUCAUGACUUUCAGGCCGCUUAAGUACUCCUGAUUUUUAUAUCCAAGGUAAACAUCCUCCAAUUUACCUAAUUAUUACAGAAAUUCAAAAACAAACAAAAAAUUAUAAUUCUAAUUCUAGUAAUUAUUUUCCUUAUAAUAAUCAUAUUUGUUAACGAUUUGGGUAGUAGCAGUGUUGGUGGAGAAAGAGAAGGAGGAAGUGAAUGGUGGUGGAAGAUGGGGUGGGGGCGGGGUGGAGGGGAGUCGCUGGGAGAAAAUGUGAGGAAGAAGGAGAAAAAUUCUUCAUUUUUUUUUUUGUUGAAAGAAAUUGCUUCACGCGCAUGGAAUUUGCGCCUAAUUCAGCACCAAAAAGUUAGCUCAAGAGGGGAGGAUUGUCCAAGUUCAUAUAAGGAGAUCAUUCAUCCCGUUCAUUGAUGUGAGACUCAUCACAUACACAUUGUGGCAUGUCAGCAAUAUGUGUCCAAUAAAUACACUUUGAAUAGGUUUAAAUGUUUAAUAAGAACAAAACUUAGUUCAAACGUCUGUAUGUAUGACGAAAAAAAGAAAAGAUAAGUUUGAGGGCUUAUGUAUUUGGCCAAUAUAAAACAAAAACAUUGCUUGUUAUUAUUAUUUAUUUAUUUUUUAAAGGUUAACACCACUUAUAAAUAUUCUACAUUACUGCCAGAGAUAAUCAGAUUUGACGUUUCAUUCGACUUGUGGAACCGACACAAUUGUUGUAGCCUGCCAACGUUUACUUUUCAUAUUUCAUAGGGUCUCUUGUUAUUUUGUGUAGUUAUGUUCUAAUGAAGUGGUUAAGCAAUAACGAAUGCAAUCUCUCCUCAACUGACACAAGUUUCGAAGUUGAUUGAAUUAUUUCACCAACUAAGGGCAGAACAUGUCAACUCGCGAAGCCAUACAAGUACAACUUUAGAGAGCUAGCCAAAUAGAUAUAGUAAUAUUCUCUAUGUCUCAUUUUAUGUGAUAUUUUUUUAAUCCGUCCUAAAAAAUAACGAUAUUUUAUUUUAGAAAAAAAAUAAGUUUAAAAUUUUUAUUUUUGUAAUGAGAUGAUUUAUAGUCACAAAAAUAUUUCUAACUUAUUUUAGACCUUAGAUUGCAAAAGUAUUUAUUUAUUUUUUAAAUUUCAUGUCCAGCCAAAAUACAUCAAAUAAAAUAGGACGAAGAGAGCAUUUAGUAGCCAGAUGCUGAUGCAGCAUCAUACCACAAGAAAAUGCAAUUAUAUUAAAUUUGAAACCUUUGUGCCCGGGAAAUCUUAGUAACUCGGUUGAUUGGGUACCUGAAUUUUUACUUUGCUGACGAGGAUUUUUUGAUUCCCCACCUCGCAAGCCCCUCCUCCAUUUCCCUUUCCCCAACCGCUAUAUAGAAUUUAAAAAAAAAUACUUUUCUUAGAACCAAUAAUACAAAUACAAUGACUCCAAUAGGCAUCCUACCAAGGUAAUAAAACCAGAUUUCACAUCGUGAAAAUGUUCCCCAAGUUUUAAUGAUCUGCAGUUGAUGACUUGAUGUUGAAGGGAUGUAAAUAGCGAUGAUGCUCUUUAUAUUGCAUUGUUCCCAUUGAUUUCAACGCAAAGCUAUAUGGAAUUAUGGAUAACAGGAAUGAGCAAUUCCUGGCCCUUGAUCAUAGCAAGCUUGAACUUAGGAAGUUGUCAAAAAGCUUCCUCCCUCUAUAAUAUUCUGCAAGUUAAUAACUUUACAAAAAGGAUUUAAGUUACCAUUUACAUUCUGUUGGAAUUAAGUUUACUAAAUAGAAUUAUCUGCAGUGCAGCUGUCCUUUAAAAUUUAAAUGCACUGAUUGUGUAAAUAUUGAUUACUCUGUAGAUAAAGGAUGAAAAGUGCAUGUUUUGAGUGUAUUUGUGUGUUAUUUCGUGCGUGAGUUGCGGGAAUUCACAUCGCUUUUGAAAUGAAAAUAUGCUCAUUACGUGUUUCUUAUGUGUAGGGAUAAACUUACGCGAAAAAGGAUCAAAUGGGAGACAAAAUUGAUAAAAGAAGUGUUGAAGAGAAAAGUCCCGGACAGCGAAGCGAGGUUCACUUCGCCAGACCGGGACCGAAGCAGAAGAAAUCAGAAAAGUCUCGGACAGCGAAGUAAGGGUCACUUCGCCGGAUCGGGACUGGAGCAGAAAAACUCAGCUUUUCCAAUCCGAAUUAGGAGAAGUCAAUUCGGCCCAACUCGACCUUGUACCAUAUAAAUAUGAAAGUUAACCACUUUUUGAGGGGAGAGAAGACUUCGGAGAGCCAAGAACAUGCUUGGAGCAAGGAGAAGAAUUCAACUUCACGUUUUCUUCCUAAUUUUCCAUUGUUAUGAAUUCUAAUCUUGUAUUUAUGCAAACAAUUAUGAGUAGCUAAAUUCCCAUCUAGGGUUUGAUGGAACCUCUUGAAGGAUGAC